CCUACGGGAGGCAGCAGUGAGGAAUAUUGGUCAAUGGGCGCAAGCCUGAACCAGCCAUGCCGCGUGCAGGAAGACGGUCCUAUGGAUUGUAAACUGCUUUUAUUCGGGGAUAAACCUCCUUACGUGUAGGGAGCUGAAGGUACCGAAAGAAUAAGCACCGGCUAACUCCGUGCCAGCAGCCG
rnacentral:rRNA from 1 species